AGAGUUUGAUCCUGGCUCAGAUUGAACGCUGGCGGCACGCCUAACACAUGCAAGUCGCACGGUAGAUAGAUAGCUUGCUAUUUAUUGAGAGUGGCGGACGGGUGAGUAACGCGUAGGAAUCUGCCUGAUAGACCGGGACAACCUAGGGAAACUUAGGCUAAUACUGGAUACAUUCUGAGGAAGAAAGUCGACACAUAAUUGUGAAGAGCUAUCAGAUGAGCCCGCGUUGGAUUAGCUAGUUGGUUAGGUAAAAGCUAACCAAGGCGACGAUCCAUAGCUGUUCUGAGAGGAAGACCAGCCACACUGGGACUGAGACACGGCCCAGACUCCUACGGGAGGCAGCAGUGGGGGAUAUUGGACAAUGGGGGCAACCCUGAUCCAGCGAUGCCGCGUGUGUGAAGAAGGCCUGCGGGUUGUAAAGCACUUUAAUUGGGGAGGAGGCUAUGCGUGAGCAUAGUAGACGUUACCCAAAGAAUAAGCACCGGCUAACUCUGUGCCAGCAGCCGCGGUAAUACAGAGGGUGCAAGCGUUAAUCGGAAUGACUGGGCGUAAAGGGCGUGUAGGCGGAAGAUAGAGUCAGCUGUGAAAGCCAUGGGCUUAACCUGUGGAGGCCAGCUGAGACCUAUCAUCUAGAGUGUUGAAGANGGUAGUGGAAUUUCCGGUGUAGCGGU
rnacentral:rRNA from 1 species